UGUGCACGGUUUCUUUUGUAGCGGACG
rnacentral:piRNA from 1 species